GCCGGAGUGGCGGAAUUGGCAGACGCGCUGGACUCAAAAUCCAGUGAACCGCGAGGUUCAUGUCGGUUCGACCCCGACCUUCGGCACCA
rnacentral:tRNA from 1 species